rnacentral:misc_RNA from 1 species
GAUGAAGAACGUAGCGAAAUGCGAUAAGUAAUGUGAAUUGCAGAAUUCAGUGAAUCAUCGAAUCUUUGAACGCACCUUGCACCCUUUGGCAUUCCGAAGGGUAUGCUCGUUUGAGUGUCAUUGUACUCUCACACUCUCCGAUCCUAUGGAUUCGGGGAGCGGUGGACUUGGGUGUUGCUGCCUUUCCCUGUGGCUCACCUCAAAUGCGUCAGUGCACCUCUUGGUUGGACAUAGUACGGCGUGAUAAGUGUCUUCGCCGGCACCUCGCAAGAGGGUGGCCGAUCGGGAGCUCUGCGCUUUCAAACCGUCUUCGGACAAUUUCUGACAUCUUGACCUCAAAUCGAGUAGGACUACCCGCUGAACUUAAGCAUAUCAAUAGCGGAGGA